CGUGAGGAACCUGCCUUUCAGAGGGGGACAACAGUUGGAAACGACUGCUAAUACCGCAUGACACAUUGGGGUCGCAUGGCCCUGAUGUCAAAGAUUUAUCGCUGAAAGAUGGCCUCGCGUCUGAUUAGCUAGUUGGUGAGGUAGCGGCCCACCAAGGCGACGAUCAGUAGCCGGACUGAGAGGUUGACCGGCCACAUUGGGACUGAGAUACGGCCCAG
rnacentral:rRNA from 1 species